CCAAUAGCGUAUAUUAAAGUUGUUGCAGUUAAAAAGCUCGUAGUUGAAUUUCGGGAUUAGUGCGCCGGUCGUGCCUUCGGUAUGUACUGGUGUUACUGGUUCCUACCUUCUGACGAACCGUCAUGUCAUUAAUUUGGUGUGGCGGGGAAUCAGGACUGUUACUUUGAAAAAAUUAGAGUGUUUAAAGCAGGCUCGCGCUUGAAUACAUUAGCAUGGAAUAAUGGAAUAGGACGUUCGAUCCUAUUUUGUUGGUUUCUAGGAUUGACGUAAUGAUUAAUAGGGAUAGUUGGGGGCAUUAGUAUUCAAUUGUCAGAGGUGAAAUUCUUGGAUUUAUUGAAGACUAACUACUGCGAAAGCAUUUGCCAAGGAUGUUUUCAUUAAUCAAGAACGAAAGUUAGGGGAUCGAAGACGAUCAGAUACCGUCGUAGUCUUAACCAUAAACUAUGCCGACUAGGGAUCGGAUGAUGUUAUUUUUAAUGACUCAUUCGGCGCCUUACG
rnacentral:rRNA from 1 species